rnacentral:rRNA from 1 species
UGGGGAAUUUUGGACAAUGGGGGAAACCCUGAUCCAGCCAUCCCGCGUGUGCGAUGAAGGCCUUCAGGUUGUAAAGCACUUUUGGCAGGAAAGAAACGUCAUGGGUUAAUACCCCGUGAAACUGACGGUACCUGCAGAAUAAGCACCGGCUAACUACGUGCCAGCAGCCGCGGUAAUACGUAGGGUGCAAGCGUUAAUCGGAAUUACUGGGCGUAAAGCGUGCGCAGGCGGUUCGGAAAGAAAGAUGUGAAAUCCCAGAGCUCAACUUUGGAACUGCAUUUUUAACUACCGGGCUAGAGUGUGUCAGAGGGAGGUGGAAUUCCGCGUGUAGCAGUGAAAUGCGUAGAUAUGCGGAGGAACACCGAUGGCGAAGGCAGCCUCCUGGGAUAACACUGACGCUCAUGCACGAAAGCGUGGGGAGCAAACAGG